GAUGAACGCUGGCGGCGUGCCUAAUACAUGCAAGUCGAGCGAACAGACGAGGAGCUUGCUCCUCUGACGUUAGCGGCGGACGUGUGAGUAACACGUGGAUAACCUACCUAUAAGACUGGUAUAACUUCGGGAAACCGGAGCUAAUACCGGAUAAUAUAUUGAACCGCAUGGUUCAAUAGUGAAUGACGGUUUUUCUGUCACUUAUAGAUGGAUCCGCGCCGCAUUAGCUAGUUGGUAAGUUAACGGCUUACCAAGGCAACGAUGCGUAGCCGACCUGAGAGGGUGAUCGGCCACACUGGAACUGAGACACGGUCCAGACGCCUACGGGAGGCAGCAGUAGGGAAUCUUACGCAAAGGGCGAAAGCAUGACGGAGCAACGCCGCGUGAGUGAUGAAGGUCUUCGGAUCGUAAAACUCUGUUAUUAGGGAAGAAAAAAUGUGUAAGUAAAUAUGCACGUCUUGACGGUACCUAAUCAGAAAGCCACGGCUAACUACGUG
rnacentral:rRNA from 1 species